UUUCACAAUUUAAAGCUCUUAUUUUUUAUUAUACAAGUAAUACACAAUCUUUGUAGAAAAAUCAGAAAGUACAGAUAAUAAACACAAAAUAAAAAUCUAUGGACCAACCAAUCAUAAAUAACCACUGUUAACACUGAAAGGAGAUGUAUAUUAAAAGAAUAAUAUACUAUGACUAUAUCAGGUUUUUAUAGAAAUGCAGAGAUGUCUUAACAUUAGCUAAUCUAUUAAUGAUUCAUCUAAAGUCAUAAUAGAGAAAAGCCAGUUGAUCAUCUUGACAGAUGUGGAAAAAAGCCAUUAAAUAAAACCCCAACAUCCAUUACUAAUAAUAUUUUCAUCAAACUAGAAAUAGAGGGCAUAACCUUAAUGUAUAAUUCAAAUAUUAAGAUUAUUUUACACUAAGAGUCAAAUUUAUAGUUCUGGAGAAACACUCUUCUAAGUAAAAAAAAUAUAUAUAAAAUAAUGUACAAUAUCAGCAGAAUUAUGUAAGUGUUAUUUAACAUUGUUCUAAAAGUACCGGUCAAUGUGAUGAUUUGAGAAAGUGAAAUAAGAUUACAAACAUGGGAAUAAAAUUAUCAACCUACCCAGAAUUAUUACCCAACUGAAAAAGGCAAAAGAAAUUAACAACAGCAAAACCUUUAGAAUAGUUCAGUAACUGGCUAGUUAUAAAAUAAAUAACCAAUCGCCAAGUUAAACUAUUAUACAACCACACACUACUCUCUUAUGCAGAGGUAAGAAUGAGGUAGAUUGGCGUGUACUGACAUAGGAAGAUCUAUUGCAAAGAGAAAAAUGCUAAGAGCAGAAGGGUUGUCUCAUAUGGUCAAAGUGCUAAAACAUACUUUAGGAAAAAACUGAUGAAUAUGCAUCAACUGUUGACUGUUUUUCUUGGGGGAAAGGGAUUUUAAUUAUGGGGGGCUUUAAUUUUCUACAUAUGUUUUAAAAUAAUGUUUACACUUACAUAAGUUUUAUUUAAUGUUUUAAGUCAUAAAAGCGAUUGAUUUAAUUUUCAUUUUUUAAAGUAGUGGGAAAAGAUCUCAUUUACACAAUAGUAACCACACUACAAAAAUCACCUAUACUAGAAAAGAUAGGCUGAGAGACAUAAAACAUUAUAAAUGUACUGAAAUGAAAGGUUAAAUAUUAUAAAGAUGUUAGUCCUCUUGUGUAAAAUAUGUAAAUUUUACUCAAUCCAAUUUCUAAUUUUUCUAAACAUUACAAAAUUGUCUCAAUGUCUUUUGGAAGCUUUUUUUUUUCUUUUUUUUGGGGACAGUCUCGCUCCGUCACCCAGGCUGGAGGGUAGUGGUGCUAUCUCAGCUCACUGCAACCUCCACCUCCUGGGUUCACUGCCUCAGCCUCCCAAGUAGCUGAGAUUACAGGCACCCAUCACCACACCCGGCUAAUUUUCUUUUGUUA
rnacentral:lncRNA from 1 species